CAGAAGACCUGCUGGGCAUUGAUUCAUGGAGAGUGAGUGAGCUUUAUUUGGGUCUGCUAUUAUGCCAGCCACUGCACUAGGCAAUAGAGACUCGACCCAAACAUGACCCCAGGAGAACUAAUAAUUAAUUCAGAGGCUGAGGCAGAAAGUUACGUGUGAAAAUGCUAUUAUGCAGUAAAUAUGCAGUGCUAUUGAGUUCAUAGGAUAGGUGUCUGACUAAGCUCUGAGUCAUGAAAAACAUUCCUCAGAGGCAGGCCAGGCAGAUGGCAGGAGAGGGCAAGAAGGCUGCUACUCCAAACGGAGGGAGCCGUCACUGUGUCUGCAGUACUGUGACUUAGGUUGGGGCUCCACCACCCAGCUGCCCUACUGACUGUGUGCGCUGGGAUUUCAGACUCUUGUAAAUACCAGAGCUCUGCCAGCCAGGAUGUCCCAAAAUGUUUCAAAUCCUCAUCCUUCCUCAGCGCAGUGGGUUACAGCUUUGUUCACAUGGUGGGUUAAAUGUCCAGUCCUGGAAAGCCUGAGGCUGAGGCAUGUCUUUCAGCAGCCACAGCUCUCAUGUUCUUGCCCUGAACAUCGUUUCACACCUCCCUGACUUCUCACACCACCCUCAAAAAUGUAUGUGAUGGGGGAUGGAUGUUCCCUAUCUUUGAACUCAGCCUAAGCUACUUUAUAUAUUAUUAGGGACAGGCGUAAAUCCUACAUCCUGCUGUGAAAGUCAUUCGGUUGUCUGUAUGGUCCAUUUUCCCAGCAGGGUGACUCUGUCACACAGAGCAAGCAAAAGCCUGGGAAAAGACUUGCAAGGAAUUAUUGAAAAGAUUUUGGCUGAAAAAUUUCCUUGACUUUUACAGUUUCCAUGGUCUCUGCCCUUGUUUCUAAGUGACAAAUGCAUCUCCAACAGAUACUUGACAGAAAGCCUGCAUACAUAUAUGUGUGUACAUAUGUAUGUGUGUACAUAUAUAUGUACACACAUAUAUAUAAUUAUAUAUAAUAUAAUAAUAUAUGCAUUAUAUAACAUAUGUAUAUAUUGUAUACAUAAUUAUGUGUAUAAUACAACAUAUAUAAUAAAA
rnacentral:lncRNA from 1 species